UACGUAGGUGGCAAGCGUUAUCCGGAUUCACUGGGUGUAAAGGGUGCGCAGGCGGGAUUGCAAGUUGGAUGUGAAAUACCGGGGCUUAACCCCGGAACUGCAUCAAAAACUGUAGUUCUUGAGUGGAGCAGAGGUAAGCGGAAUUCCGAGUGUAACGGUGAAAUGCGUAGAUAUUCGGAGGAACACCAGUGGCGAAGGCGGCUUACUGGGCUCUAACUGACGCUGAGGCGCGAAAGUGUGGGUAGCAAAC
rnacentral:rRNA from 1 species